rnacentral:rRNA from 1 species
GACGAACGCUGGCGGCAUGCCUAACACAUGCAAGUCGAGCGAACCCUUCGGGUCCAGUGGCCACCGGUUUCGUCACGCGUGGGGACCUGCCCUUAUGUUCGGAAUACCUCCCCGACAGGGGUACUAAUACCGGAUAAUGUCUUCGACCCAAGAAUUUUUUGCCUUUGGUUGUUCCCGCGUUGGAUUCGCUCGUUGGUAGGGUUAAAGCCUACGAAGGCGACCAUCCAUAACUGGUUAGAGAGGAUGAUCAGCCACACUGGGACUGAGACACGGCCCAGACUCCUACGGGAGGCAGCAGUGGGGAAUAGUGGAACAUGGGCGAAAGCCUGAUCCAGCAAUGCCGCGUGAGUGAUGAAGGCCGUAGGGUUGUAAAGCGCUUUUACCCGGGAUGAUAAUGACAGUACCGAGACAAUAAGCUCCGGCUAACUACGUG